UUCAAUUCGACGCAACGCGAAGAACCUUACCCAGGCUUGAACAGCGAGUGACAUUCGGCGAAAGCCGGCUUCCGCAAGGACACUCGUAGAGGUGCUGCAUGGCUGUCGUCAGCUCGUGUCGUGAGAUGUUGGGUUAAGUCCCGCAACGAGCGCAACCCUUGUCCUCUGUUGCCAUCAGGUUAAGCUGGGCACUCUGAGGAGACUGCCGGUGAUAAACCGGAGGAAGGUGGGGAUGACGUCAAGUCAGCAUGGCCUUUAUGUCUGGGGCUACACACGUGCUACAAUGGCAGAUACAAACCGUCGCGAUGCCGCAAGGUGGGGCUAAUCGGAGAAAGUCUGUCUCAGUUCGGAUUGCAGGCUGCAACUCGCCUGCAUGAAGUUGGAAUCGCCAGUAAUCGCGGAUCAGCACGCCGCGGUGAAUACGUUCCCGGGCAAU
rnacentral:rRNA from 1 species